AGUAGUUUAACGGUAGAAUAUUUGGCUUCCAACCAAAAGGCGCGGGUUCAACUCCCGCUUG
rnacentral:tRNA from 1 species